rnacentral:snoRNA from 1 species
AAGCCAUUGUGAGGGCACCUUCUCAAAAGGUCCUUGUAUCUUUCCCAUGCAUCGUAGAGUGUUUUUAAAUCCAUCUGCAUGAAAUAAGAGAUAUCAUUACGUAAUUU